AUGCAUCUUAUCGUUACAGGUACAAGUCUGGAACUGAAGCAGGACCGCAUGGCUGACCCUUAAGUACCCCCAGGGCGUGGCUAAGGCUAUUCCAGAGAGUUGGUGCCAUGGCAGUAAAGAUCCUGAUCAUCUGUGGACAAAAGUUUUAUAGCCUCAGAGGACGAAGGCUGUACACCGCCCUGAGUCCUUUGGGAGAAGGGCGGUAUAGAAAUAAAAUUAUUAUUAUCAUCAUCAUCAUCAUCAUCAUCAUCAUCAUCAUCAUCAUCAUCUUCCCCAGGCGGAUUUUUACGGAUGUGCUCACCGGCUGAGCUCUUUGCCUUGCGAGACUCCCCCCUCUCGCAAGCCUGGCCUUCUAUGUUAUCAAAGGCCUACCUCGAUGAAGGGUUUUGGAACCCAGAGAGGUGGCAUGCCGCGAAAAGGGAGUUGAGGGGUUUUUUAUGUAAAGUUUUAGCUAAUU